rnacentral:rRNA from 1 species
AUUGAACGCUGGCGGCAGGCCUAACACAUGCAAGUCGAGCGAGCGGCGGACGGGUGAGUAAUGUCUGGGAACCUGCCUGAUGGGGAGGGAUAACUACUGGAACCGGUAGCUACUACCGCGUCCCAUCAGAUGUGCCCAGAUGGGAUUAGCUAGUAGGUGGGGUAACGGCCUACCUAGGCGACGAUCCCUAGCUGGUCUGAGAGGAUGAUCAGCCACACUGGAACUGAGACACGGUCCAGACUCCUACGGGAGGCAGCAGUGGGGAAUAUUGGACAAUGGGCGAAAGCCUGAUGCAGCCAUGCCGCGUGUGUGAAGAAGGUCUUCGGGUUGUAAAGCACUUUAAGCGGGGAGGCGUUACCCGCAGAAGAAGCACCGGCUAACUCCGUGCCAGCAGCCGCGGUAAUUC